UACAGAGGUGGCAAGCGUUGUUCGGAAUUACUGGGCGUAAAGGGCGCGUAGGCGGCCAUCUAAGUCAGACGUGAAAUCCCCCGGCUUAACCUGGGAACUGCGUCUGAUACUGGAAGGCUUGAGUAUGGGAGAGGGAUGUAGAAUUCCAGGUGUAGCGGUGAAAUGCGUAGAUAUCUGGAGGAAUACCGGUGGCGGAGGCGGCAUCCUGGACCAUUACUGACGCUGAGGCGCGAAAGCUAGGGGAGCAAACGGG
rnacentral:rRNA from 1 species